rnacentral:rRNA from 1 species
GAUGAACGCUGGCGGCGUGCCUAAUACAUGCAAGUCGAGCGAACGGACGAGAAGCUUGCUUCUCUGAUGUUAGCGGCGGACGGGUGAGUAACACGUGGAUAACCUACCUAUAAGACUGGGAUAACUUCGGGAAACCGUAGCUAAUACCGGAUAAUAUUUUGAACCGCAUGGUUCAAAAGUGAAAGACGGUCUUGCUGUCACUUAUAGAUGGAUCCGCGCUGCAUUAGCUAGUUGGUAAGGUAACGGCUUACCAAGGCAACGAUGCAUAGCCGACCUGAGAGGGUGAUCGGCCACACUGGAACUGAGACACGGUCCAGACUCCUACGGGAGGCAGCAGUAGGGAAUCUUCCGCAAAGGGCGAAAGCCUGACGGAGCAACGCCGCGUGAGUGAUGAAGGUCUUCGGAUCGUAAAACUCUGUUAUUAGGGAAGAACAUAUGUGUAAGUAACUGUGCACAUCUUGACGGUACCUAAUAAGAAAGCCACGGCUAACUACGUG